rnacentral:rRNA from 1 species
ACUCCUACGGGAGGCAGCAGUGGGGAAUAUUGGACAAUGGGCGCAAGCCUGAUCCAGCCAUGCCGCGUGAGUGAUGAAGGCCCUAGGGUUGUAAAGCUCUUUCACCGGUGAAGAUAAUGACGGUAACCGGAGAAGAAGCCCCGGCUAACUUCGUGCCAGCAGCCGCGGUAAUACGAAGGGGGCUAGCGUUGUUCGGAUUUACUUGGCGUAAAGCGCACGUAGGCGGACUAUUAAGUCAGGGGUGAAAUCCCGGGGCUCAACCCCGGAACUGCCUUUGAUACUGGUAGUCUUGAGUUCGAGAGAGGUGAGUGGAAUUCCGAGUGUAGAGGUGAAAUUCGUAGAUAUUCGGAGGAACACCAGUGGCGAAGGCGGCUCACUGGCUCGAUACUGACGCUGAGGUGCGAAAGCGUGGGGAGCAAACAGGAUUAGAAACCCGGGUAGUCCCAUG